GAUGAAGAACGCAGUGAAAUGCGAUAAGUAAUGUGAAUUGCAGAAUUCAGUGAAUCAUCGAAUCUUUGAACGCACCUUGCGCUCCUUGGUAUUCCGAGGAGCAUGCCUGUUUGAGUGUCAUUAAAUUCUCAACCUCACCAGUUUUGUAACGAGACAGGUGAAGGCUUGGAUGUGGGGGUUUUGCAGGCUGCCUCAGUGCUGGUCUGCUCUCCUGAAAUGCAUUAGCGAGCUCAUAUUGAGCUUCCGUCUAUUGGUGUGAUAAUUAUCUACGCCGUGGAUUGGACUCAUGCUUGCUUCUAACCGUCCGCAAGGACAAUUUACUUGACCAAUUUGACCUCAAAUCAGCUAGGACUACCCGCUGAACUUAAGCAUAUCAAUAAGCGGAGGA
rnacentral:misc_RNA from 1 species